GGGUACAAGCGGCGAGCAGAUCCACACGUGCGAGCGGGGGGCGCGGCCUGCGGGCAGAGGGGGCGGGGGCAGCGCCAUUGAGGAAUUCUCCGGCGGCAUGUCGGCGUGCGGCGUGACCAACAGCGGGUCCGGAACGUACACGGCAUUUCUGCCGCUGCCGCUGCUUUUCGGCUCCCGAAGCGCAGUCUCAACAACGGACGCAAAUAUUUCAUAUGGGUCAUCGGGGCGGCUUCACACGGCAAAGAACACCACACUUCCUGAGAUUUAGUUCAUAAAAAAGCGCUUCCCCUAAUUAUUCACCCCACGGGGCUUGUUGCUCUGCUGGCGCUGCUGACAAAGACAGCCCCUGGGCUGGGUUGCCAACACCCCGCUGUACCGCCGGAGCCACACGAGGCAGCCCGUCGCGGCUGAGCUCCACGUUCCAUUCAGAGGCAAAGCAAAAAGCAAACAGCGGCCGGGCCGCGAUAUCGGGACACUGGGGUCACCUAAGUCCGAGCCGAGUCUCUCCCCUCAACUACGUACGGCCAUCAGCGCUCCGUGUCCCACAGAGCCACCUCCCAGUGGCCAUGGCUGUGACCAUGACUGUGACAACGUGCGGUACUGUCACGGGAAUCAGCCUCACUUCUGCUGCCCUCCAGAAGCCGGAACCUGUCCGGAUUCACCCAAAAGGCAACAUCUAGGAAGGACGUUCUUCCCUCACCGUCGGGUCUGCAGUCAUAGAACCACAGGAUCUUUUGAGUUGGAAGGGACCUUUAAAGCUUGCUCUAGGUACGAGUCUAUCCUGGGGGCCCAGGAGUCUGUCCUCAGCACCGUGGUAUAUUCCAGGAGUUACUCUGCACUUCAAGUAUUUUCUGCUAAAAACUCCCAUUUCUUUCCCCAUGGAAGACAGAAAAGAUAA
rnacentral:lncRNA from 1 species